GGAAUCUUGGACAAUGGGCGCAAGCCUGAUCCAGCCAUGCCGCGUGAGUGAUGAAGGCCCUAGGGUUGUAAAGCUCUUUCGCCAGGGAAGAUAAUGACGGUACCUGGAUAAGAAGCCCCGGCUAACUCCGUGCCAGCAGCCGCGGUAAUACGGAGGGGGCUAGCGUUGUUCGGAAUUACUGGGCGUAAAGCGCACGUAGGCGGCUAUCCAAGUUGGGGGUGAAAUCCCUGGGCUUAACCCAGGAACUGCCUUCAAAACUGGAUGGCUAGAGUCCGAGAGAGGUGAGUGGAAUUUCCAGUGUAGAGGUGAAAUUCGUAGAUAUUGGAAAGAACACCAGUGGCGAAGGCGGCUCACUGGCUCGGUACUGACGCUGAGGUGCGACAGCGUGGGGAGCAAACAGGAUUAGAAACCCCAGUAGUCC
rnacentral:rRNA from 1 species